UAUGAAACUCCCAAAACCCUUAAGGCACCAGGCCCCUUCUGUUCUUGGAAGUUAAACAGGGUCAGCCUUGGGUAGUACUUGGAUGAAAGACAAGUAAUGAAUACCAGGUGUUUUAAGC
rnacentral:rRNA from 1 species